GACGAACGCUGGCGGCGUGCUUAACACAUGCAAGUCGAACGGAAAGGCCCUUCGGGGUACUCGAGUGGCGAACGGGUGAGUAACACGUGGGUGAUCUGCCCUGCACUUCGGGAUAAGCCUGGGAAACUGGGUCUAAUACCGGAUAUGAUCAUCGGCUUCAUGGUCGGUGGUGGAAAGCUUUUGCGGUGUGGGAUGGGCCCGCGGCCUAUCAGCUUGUUGGUGGGGUAAUGGCCUACCAAGGCGUCGACGGGUAGCCGGCCUGAGAGGGUGUCCGGCCACACUGGGACUGAGAUACGGCCCAGACUCCUACGGGAGGCAGCAGUGGGAAAUAUUGCACAAUGGGCGCAAGCCUGAUGCAGCGACGCCGCGUGGGGGAUGACGGCCUUCGGGUUGUAAACCUCUUUCAGCACAGAUGAAGCGCAAGUGACGGUAUGUGCAGAAGAAGCACCGGCCAACUACGUGCCAGCCGCCGCCGUAACAC
rnacentral:rRNA from 1 species